rnacentral:lncRNA from 1 species
GUGGUUUAUGACAACGAUCAACAUCACACUCAUGGUCCUGGCAUGGAGAAGUAGGAAGGAAUGGAAGUUUAUGGUGUACCUUUGUCUAUAUUUAGAGACAGAAUCCCUUUUCCUUUAUUUAAACCUUUUUGCCUCUUAGUACUAUGCCGCGUGACUGAUCCUUGGAGAAGCUACUACAGAAACUCCUGUGAGACCUGCCGUGGCAGCUCUGGCUGUGGCUCUGCCUAUGGCUGGGGCUAUGGUUCUGGCUGUGGCUAUGGCUGUGGCUCUGGCUCUGGCUGUGGAUGGAAGUCUGGCUGCUGUAGCUACCGACCGGUUUGCUACAGAAUUUGCUACGCCUCUCGCUGUUAAUGACCACGAGAUGAAAAUUUUCCUCGGAAGCCCUCAAGAUCAAGCUGAGUAGAACACCCCUUCAUUUAAACCAAAGCAAGUAUUGAUUACUGACUGCUGGACACCUGGAAUAACCACAAAGCGUCUGACUCCAUUGAGGUAGCCUGAUUAGACCUAUUACAUCACUGAGGACAGAUGUUACUGUUGAAUGUGGCUCUGGCUGUGAAUGUUAUCCUGCUAUAGCUGUGGAUACUCCUAUCGAUGUUGUUGCUAUUGAGUCUUUUGGUAUAGAAUAUGCUUUUAUUCUUGCUGUUAGUCACCACAAUAUUUCAUGCUUUCCCUUUAAAUUACUACCUCAAGUGCAAAUUCAAUUGAAAUCUCACAUAUAUCAACUUCAGAUCCAAGG